AUUGAACGCUGGCGGCAGGCCUAACACAUGCAAGUCGAGCGGAUGACGGGAGCUUGCUCCUUGAUUCAGCGGCGGACGGGUGAGUAAUGCCUAGGAAUCUGCCUGGUAGUGGGGGACAACGUUUCGAAAGGAACGCUAAUACCGCAUACGUCCUACGGGAGAAAGCAGGGGACCUUCGGGCCUUGCGCUAUCAGAUGAGCCUAGGUCGGAAUAGCUAGUUGGUGGGGUAAUGGCUCACUAAGGCGACGAUCCGUAACUGGUCUGAGAGGAUGAUCAGUCACACUGGAACUGAGACACGGUCCAGACUCCUACGGGAGGCAGCAGUGGGGAAUAUUGGACAAUGGGCGAAAGCCUGAUCCAGCCAUGCCGCGUGUGUGAAGAAGGUCUUCGGAUUGUAAAGCACUUUAAGUUGGGAGGAAGGGCAGUAAGUUAAUACCUUGCUGUUUUGACGUUACCGACAGAAUAAGCACCGGCUAACUCUGUGCCAGCAGCCGCCGUAAGAC
rnacentral:rRNA from 1 species